AUAAAUAACUUUCUUGGACAGAUAGUAGAUCUAGAGAAAUUUAUCGUAAAACUAAAUGAAAAAGACAGUUGAAAAUUGAUUUUAAGGGUUGGAACGUAAUAAAUACAGCAAACGCUUACAUUCAGCAAGUUGAGAUUUUCAGUUUUGUGACCUGUCUAAAGACAACACACAAUAUGGACGGUCAAUGCCGACUGAGGAGAAGCCGACCAAAGAAAGGCCUACGUCACUGAAAAAAAGUCACAAAUGUAUAUUUGCAUGUUAAUGUGCAUGUUAUAUUUGCAUUGUUAAUACUUUAAUGUAUUAAAUAUUCCGAGAGUGCAAA